rnacentral:rRNA from 1 species
CCAGACUCCUACGGGAGGCAGCAGUGGGGAAUAUUGGACAAUGGGGGCAACCCUGAUCCAGCGACGCCGCGUGAGUGAAGAAGUAUUUCGGUAUGUAAAGCUCUAUCGAUAACGGAAGAAGAUGACAAGCCGUUAAGGAAGAAGCCCCGGCUAACUACGUGCCAGCAGCCGCGGUAAUACGUAGGGGGCAAGCGUUAUCCGGAUUUACUGGGUGUAAAGGGAGCGUAGACGGCGUAUAAAGUCUGAAGUGAAAACCCGCAGCUCAACUGCGGAGUUGCUUUGGAAACUUAUAAGCUGGAGUGUCGGAGGGGUAAGCGGAAUUCCCAGUGUAGCGGUGAAAUGCGUAGAUAUUGGGAGGAACACCGGAGGCGAAGGCGGCUUACUGGAAGAUAACUGACGUUGAGGCUCGAAGGCGUGGGUAGCAAACAGGAUUAGAUACCCUGGUAGUCCACGCAGUAAACGAUGAAUACUAGGUGUCGGGAGGGAAUAACCUUUUCGGUGCCGUCGCAAACGCAAUAAGUAUUCCACCUGGGGAGUACGUUCGCAAGAAUGAAACUCAAAGGAAUUGACGGGGGCCCGCACAG